rnacentral:tRNA from 1 species
AGUUCGGGGGUGUUAAUACACAUCAAAUUGCAAAUUUGAAGUAGGCUGUAAAUGCUUCGGACUU